rnacentral:misc_RNA from 1 species
UACUGCGUCUCUACUCAAAAUAACGACAAUCGCCUCCAAAAGAUCAUCAAAGCGUACCAAAAAUCCUCUAUUCUCGUUGGAAUAGCUCAAAAACUCCACAAUCUUCACCAACGAUUCCAUUCUUGGCUUCUUAAUCUCAUCAAUCCAAAUCUCAACUUGCUGCUCUGAGACGGUGGUCGCCGUCACCGAAGAGUUGCCGGAGUCAGGGAGGCGAGUGGAGGACUGUGCCCAGAGGUUGAUAAGACGAUGGAGAGUGAGGUUGGGAACGAAAUCCUUGGUGGCGAGGAUCUGCAUGGUGGCGGGACAGGUGUCGUGCCCGGAGUCAAGCCAGUGCUGGAUACUGGAGCGAUCGUAUGUGACGCCGGUGCAGAGACUAACGGGAGACUUCAUUACGUCGAGAGAUAUCGGGCACCGGAAGAGAUUGGGUACGCUUAUGUAGAGCUCGUUUCUUUCCAUCUUUUUCCUUUCCUCCGUUCUCGCAGAGAAAGAAAGAAAGAGAGAUGUAUUUGGACUGGAGGAGCAUAGACGGACUGGA